GCUCACGGUGAGGAAGCCCCGAGCUCCCGGGACGCAGACAGGGUGUGCAGGGCCGUAGCUCGGGCCUGUGUAUGCACCUGUGCGUGUGUGUUUGAUGCCAGGACAAGGCGGCGGUGUGCGCGGCGAGGAGGCUGCGACAGCUGUAUAGACCCCAGCUGCAGUGAAAUGGCCAUCAAAAAGGGAAGGGAUAAUCGAGUGGUGGAAUAAAAUCUGCAAACAGAAAAAGGACAGACCUGUUUUCGGAACGAGGCUUUUCGAGUUACCACCAUGACUGAAGGCUAAGAGCAACUUGCUUGCGCAUUAAAGAUCACUUGGAGAGAGAGGUCCAGUGAGCAACAACGGCCAGAAAUUUCAGGGAGACCAUCUUGAACCAUCCAGCCUCCACCAGGCCAACAGCUGACAGCUGUCACAUGAAUAUGAUCAGCAGAAGAACCACUCAGGCAAGCCAAGCCCAAAUUGCCAAGCCCCCCAAAUAAUAAGCUAAUUGUUUUUUGUUUUAAGCCAUAAACUUUUGAGGUGGUUAUAUAGCAAUAAAUAACUGAAACAGGUGUUUAACUUUCUAGACUUUUUAAAUGACCAUAUUGAUAUAAUUGUAUUGUUCAACCUGUUUUGUAAAGUGAUUUCUCUGAUACAGUAUCUUGAAAAUAUUCCUUAACUAUUUUCUACAACUUUGCAUUUGUCUAUCUUAGUAUUAUAUUACAUGGAUAUGUGGUAACUUAUUUAACUACUAACUUCCCUUUGCAAUUCCUUUUCCUUGCUGUCUAGCUCCCAUGUCUUGACCAACUUUGCAUUCCCCUCCAGGACCUUAUGGG
rnacentral:lncRNA from 10 species